ACUCAAGUAAAGUACAAGUACCUCAAAACUACUUCAGUAAAUGUACUUAGUUACUUUCCACCACUGAAGAUGUGAUUUAUUUGAUGCUCUAAUGAAUAAAACUCAGUUAAACACAGUUUGAAUGUGACGCAGACAGGAAAUAACGUGUCGUCUUAUUGUUCGAUCUUCUUCUAUUUGCAAUAAAAAAAAACCCAUAAACGUCAAUCAGAGCGUGACAGCCAAUCAGCAUCGAGAUACAAUCAGCAGAAAUAAAAACAUAAACACGGAGCGCUUCUACUGACUGCGAUUACAUCAUCAUCACCAUCAUCAUUAUCAUCAGUUAUUUACUGAUAAACGCAGCGUUGAAUCUGACCUGUAGGUGAUUUUUAAGAGAAAUGAGAGUCAUCCGGUUAAACACGAUCAGCUGACUGAAACUAAAAUAAAUAAGCAGAAACAAACCUGCAGCUGGAGAUACACCUGUCUGUCUGUGAGUCUGUGUCGGUCAGGAUGAGAGGAUGCAGGCGGAGGAGAGGAUGGAGAGAGAGAGAGAUGGAGGACCGUCUCCAGCUCUACAUGCCCGGAUGUUGAUCUUCAAAUACUGACGCUCCGCCACAGCGCCUCCUGCAGGCUGACAGAAGGAACUGCAGCAUCUCAGAGUUUUCUUCACUCUGCAGUUUGUGGGCGUGUUUCUCUGUGACAUCAUCACCGCUGUGACAUCAUCACCGCUGUGACCACUGACUAACUCGCUGUGAAGCAGAACUCUUCUUCUUCUUCUGUUGACAGUAUUUAAAGAGUCUUUUCCUGAUGUUUCUGAUCAGAAUUUCUUUUUUCUUUUU